UGGGGAAUAUUGGUCAAUGGGCGCAAGCCUGAACCAGCGACGCCGCGUGAGUGAUGAAGGCCUUCGGGUUGUAAAGCUCUGUGGGGAGGGACGAAAACGUCGGGCGCGAACAGCUCCCGGCCUUGACGGUACCUCCUUAGCAAGCACCGGCUAACUCUGUGCCAGCAGCCGCGGUAAGACAGAGGGUGCAAACGUUGCUCGGAAUUACUGGGCGUAAAGCGCAUGUAGGCGGACGUGCAAGUCAGGUGUGAAAUCCCCGGGCUCAACCCGGGAAUUGCACUUGAAACUGCUCGUCUUGAGUACCGGAGAGGAUAGUGGAAUUCCUGGUGUAGAGGUGAAAUUCGUAGAUUUCAGGAGGAACACCGGUGGCGAAGGCGGCUAUCUGGACGGUCACUGACGCUGAGAUGCGAAAGCGUGGGGAGCAAACAG
rnacentral:rRNA from 1 species